GUUUUUAUAAUUUAAAUAAAAUAUUGGUUUUGUAAACCAAAAAUAGAUUAAUUCUUAAAAAUA
rnacentral:tRNA from 2 species